AUGGUUCUGGCGCACUUGAGGAACGCCAAAAUUCCCCAAAUUCCUCAUUCCCAGGGAUCCAUCCCUUCACCCCCUGGAUCCCAAAUUCCCGAUCCCAAAUCCCAAAUCCCAAAUCCCAAAAUUCCCAAAAUCCCAAAUUCCGGCAGUACCGGAGUCGAUCUUGUUGAGGAUGGUUCUGGCGCACUUGAGGAACCCCAAAAUUCCCCAAAUUCCUCAUUCCCAUGGAUCCAUCCCCUCCAUCCCUGGAUCCCAAAUCCCAAAUCCCAAAUCCCAAAAUCCCAAAUCCCAAAUCUUCAAUCCCAAAUUCCCAAAAUUCCCAAAUCCCAAAUUCCGGCGGUACCGGAGUCAAUCUUGUUGAGGAUGGUCCUGGCGCACUUGAGGAACGGCAAAAUUCCCGAUUUCCCCAAAAUUCCCGUUCCCCCAAUCCCAAAUCCCAAAUCCCCAAAUCCCAAACCCUCCAUCCCAAAUCCCAAAUCCCAAAUCCCAAAUCCCAAAUCCCAAAAUUCCCAAAUUCCGGCGGUACCGGAGUCGAUCUUGUUGAGGAUGGUUCUGGCGCACUUGAGGAACGCCUCCUCCACGUUCUCGCCCGUCAGCGCGCUCGUCUCCAGGAACAUCAGCUCUGAAUCCCGGAAUUCCCAAAAUUCCAAUCGGGAAUUCCCGAAAUUCCCAUCGGGAAUAUUCCCAGGAUCCCGUUAUUCCCCCAAAAUCCCGUUAUUUCCUCCAGGAAUGCCCCAAAAUCCCGUUAUUCCCCCAGGAUCCCGUUAUUCCCAUGGGAAUAUUCCCAAAAUCCCGUUAUUCCCAUGGGAGUAUUCCCAAAAUCCCGUUAUUCCCAUGGGAAUAUUCCCAAAAUCCCGUUAUUCCCAUGGGAAUAUUCCCAAAAUCCUGUUAUUCCCCCAGGAUCCCGUUAUUUCCUCCAGAAAUCCCCCAAAAUCCCGUUAUUCCCACUGGGAAUAUUCCCAAAAUCCCGUUAUUCCCAUGGGAAUAUUCCCAAAAUCCCGUUAUUCCCAUGGGAAUAUUCCCAAAAUCCCGUUAUUCCCAUGGGAAUAUUCCCAAAAUCCCGUUAUUCCCAUGGGAAUAUUCCCAGGAUCCCGUUAUUCCCAUGGGAAUAUUCCCAAAAUCCCGUUAUUCCCCCAAAAUCCCGUUAUUCCAUCUGGGAAUAUUCCCAGGAUCCCGUUAUUCCAUCUGGGAAUAUUCCCAGGAUCCCGUUAUUCCCAUGGGAAUAUUCCCAAAAUCCCGUUAUUCCCAUGGGAAUAUUCCCCCAUUAUCCCGUUAUUCCCAUGGGAAUAUUCCCAACAUUCCCGUUAUUCCCAUGGGAAUAUUCCCAAAAUCCCGUUAUUCCCAUGGGAAUAUUCCCAGGAUCCCGUUAAUCCCGUUAUUCCAUCCAGGAAUUUUCCCCAAAAAUUAUUCCCCCAAAAUCCCAUUUUUCCCCCAAAA
rnacentral:lncRNA from 1 species